rnacentral:rRNA from 2 species
UGGCGAACGGGUGAGUAACACGUGGGUGAUCUGCCCUGCACUUUGGGAUAAGCCUGGGAAACUGGGUCUAAUACCGAAUAGGACUCCGGACUGCAUGGUCUGGGGUGGAAAGCUUUUGCGGUGUGGGAUGGGCCCGCGGCCUAUCAGCUUGUUGGUGGGGUGAUGGCCUACCAAGGCGACGACGGGUAGCCGGCCUGAGAGGGUGUCCGGCCACACUGGGACUGAGAUACGGCCCAGACUCCUACGGGAGGCAGCAGUGGGGAAUAUUGCACAAUGGGCGCAAGCCUGAUGCAGCGACGCCGCGUGAGGGAUGACGGCCUUCGGGUUGUAAACCUCUUUCGGUAGGGACGAAGCGCAAGUGACGGUACCUACAGAAGAAGCACCGGCCAACUACGUGCCAGCAGCCGCGGUAAUACGUAGGGUGCGAGCGUUGUCCGGAAUUACUGGGCGUAAAGAGCUCGUAGGUGGUUUGUCGCGUUGUUCGUGAAAACUCACAGCUUAACUGUGGGCGUGCGGGCGAUACGGGCAGACUGGAGUACUGCAGGGGAGACUGGAAUUCCUGGUGUAGCGGUGGAAUGCGCAGAUAUCAGGAGGAACACCGGUGGCGAAGGCGGGUCUCUGGGCAGUAACUGACGCUGAGGAGCGAAAGCGUGGGGAGCGAACAGGAUUAGAUACCCUGGUAGUCCACGCCGUAAACGGU